AAGCUAUACUCAUUUAUGCGGCAAAUGAAAGAUGAUAGUGGGGGUUUCAGAAGGCAUGAUGGUGGAGAAAUUGAUGUUCGAGCAUGUUAUACAGCCAUCUCAGUAAGUAUGCAGUGAUGUUGAAAAGUUAAUACUAUCACUAUUUUUUGUUUGGAAAACUCCAUUAAUUAUUAUAGAUCUAUUGUUUCCUUUGGGUUGCAUUUAUGAUAUAUGUAACCUGUUUCUGUUUAUAAAUUAUAUGCCACUUUUUUCAACGUUAUUCUGUCUUUGCGGUAAGCCAGCAUCUUUUCUUGACCAGGUUGUAAGUCUUCCGAAUAUUUUGGAUGAUGAACUUGGUGAAAAUGUUGGAAAUUACAUCUUAUGUUGCCAGACUUACGAAGGUGGCAUUUCUGGGGAACCUG